rnacentral:lncRNA from 1 species
GAUUUCUGUGUUUGUCAUUUUAUAUUGAUCUUGUUUGGACUUUAGUUUGAAGAAGAGGGGAAUUGGAAUAUAACGGUGGUUUUUAAAUACAAACCCAGAAGUUUUGAAUCUGUCAUUCAUUCUUUUUCAUCAGAUCAGAUCUGUUCAACUUGUAAGAGUUUUAAUUAUUUUACUUUAUCUAGCAUACAUAUAUAUAUAUAUAUAUAUAUAUAACACACAUAUACAUAUAUUGAUAAUUGUGUGAUUGUUCAUAUUGGUUGAAACAUAUGAAGCUAGCAUUACUCGUAUAGUUUCACAUUUUAAUAUUUGACAUUGUUUAGUUUGAUUAUAUACACAUCUGAAUGAUUGUUUUUGUUUUCUUUCAGUUUCAGAUGAUCAAUACAUAUUGGAGAUUCAUCACGGUGGUUAUUUUGACAAGCAGUUAGAUGGAAGUAAGAAAUAUAAAGUGGCUAGGUUUAGCAAGACGGCAGGGAAGAUCUACUUGGACGGAUUAGAUCCUGAACUCAUGUCUUUCAUUGAAUUGAACAACAUUGCUUGUGAUUUGGGGUACAGGGAGAAGCCUAUUUCUUAUCACUUCAAGCUUCCAAGGACAACAUGUAAUGAAGGUGGAUUCCAAUUAAAAACGAUGCAGAUGCAUUGGAAAUGGUUAAGUUGAUUCCACCAAAGAGCAAACAGAUAAGUUUGUACAUUACAGGUGGUGGUAGGAGGAAAAUAAGGGAGGCUGAAUUGGAUGAUUUAAGGCCAGUAGACCCUGAUCAUGAAAAUCCUCUCAAUACUAUGUCUGCAGCAGAAAAAGAGAGAAUGUUUGAGGAAGCUAAUUUGCAUGCAAAAACAGUUAAAAUACAUGUGUAGUGGGAGUUGAUGAGGAUGGUGGCCN